CAAAUUACUUCGCUUGAUCGAACGAAACCUAGUUUGCGUUGUUUGCGUGAGGAAGUUGAUUCUCUUCCGAAACGAAAAAAAAGAUGGCUGGACAAAUUUGCCAGAGGCUUGUCAAAAAAAUAUGGCGUGAUUAUGCAGAAGACUUGGAAAAUGUGCCAGAAGCUGAGGGCAUAUAUGUAAUCGGCCUGGAAGAAGCCAGAGGCAGCGUCACCUAUUUGUACGUCGGACACUCGGUGAACAUCCACAGAAGGCUUCUUGAACAUAAACAUCAAACAUUGGCCAUUGAUAAGGUCAUCAAGGAGCAGUUUCGAGAAAACGGUGGAGCCAGGCUUAGGAUAAAAUGGAUACAGCAGUCAAAUAGCAAACUGAAAGAAGGACAAUACAUCCGCUGUAUUGAAGAUAAAGUGGGUUACCCACCCAUAUUGAACAUAAAGGGAGGAAACGAUAAUUGAAAGAGAACAGCAAAAACUCUUUAAAAAAGUUACUUUCACUUUAUAAUUUUUAGCAAUUCCUAGCCUUUCAGACAUCUGUAUUGAUCAGUCUUUGGCUUUUCGUCACUUGUCAUUACUGAAAGGAAAUGUAUCGUGAUAUUGACUAGAAGUUCUGUCAGUCUAAUUUCGGUGAGAUGUGCACACAUGUAUGCAAAACAAUAAAUUUUGGUGCUUCCCUCACUUCGCAUAUCCUCCAAGUCUUGCUUGACACAUGUAUUUUGCCUGGUCUUCUGUCUCUUGUUGAAAGUCAGACACUACUCAUAGUGAAAUAAUUUCUCCAUAUUACACUAAUUAUUGUAAUAUGGUGAAGCUGUUUUAAUAUUGGUUUAGUUUGGCGUCCAUUUAACCUUGAGUAACUUUUUUUCAAUCAUGGAUAUUCUAAAAUUUUUUACUGGUCUGAAUUAUACUUUACAGGUUUCUCCUUAUCUUUCCCUUAAUAAACAUCUGAUUUUCGAACAAGAAAGA